rnacentral:snRNA from 1 species
GUGCUCGCUCGGCAGCACGCAUACUGAAGUUGGAACCACACAGAGAAGAUUAGCACGGCCCCUGCGCAAGGAUGACACGCAAAUUUGUGAUGUGUUCCAUAUUAAA